rnacentral:rRNA from 1 species
GAUGAACGCUGGCGGCGUGCCUAAUACAUGCAAGUCGAGCGAACAGACGAGGAGCUUGCUCCUCUGACGUUAGCGGCGGACGGGUGAGUAACACGUGGAUAACCUACCUAUAAGACUGGGAUAACUUCGGGAAACCGGAGCUAAUACCGGAUAAUAUAUUGAACCGCAUGGUUCAAUAGUUAAAGACGGUUUUGCUGUCACUUAUAGAUGGAUCCGCGCCGCAUUAGCUAGUUGGUAAGGUAACGGCUUACCAAGGCAACGAUGCGUAGCCGACCUGAGAGGGGGAUCGGCCACACUGGAACUGAGACACGGUCCAGACUCCUACGGGGGGCAGCAGUAGGGAAUCUUCCGCAAUGGGCGAAAGCCUGACGGAGCAACGCGGCGUGAGUGAUGAAGGUCUUCGGAUCGUAAAACUCUGUUAUUAGGGAAGAACAAAUGUGUAAGUAACUAUGCACGUCUGGACGGUACCUAAUCAGAAAGCCACGGCUAACUACGU